UACGUAGGUGGCAAGCGUUGUCCGGAAUUACUGGGCGUAAAGCGUGCGCAGGCGGUUUCUUAAGUCAGAUGUGAAAGCCCCCGGCUCAACUGGGGAGGGUCAUUCGAUACUGUUCGACUCGAAGGCAGGAGAGGGAAGUGGAAUUCCCGGUGUAGUGGUGAAAUGCGUAGAUAUCGGGAGGAACACCAGUGGCGAAGGCGGGUCUCUGGGCAGUAACUGACGCUGAGGAGCGAAAGCGUGGGGAGCGAACAGG
rnacentral:rRNA from 1 species